CAAUCUGCCCUUGAGUGGGAAACAACCUGCCGAAAGGCGGGCUAAUGUCCCAUAAGACCACGGGGUGACAUCAUCCAGAGGUCAAAGCUCCGCAAGGGGCGCUUGAGGAGGAGCCCGAGUCCUAUCAGCUAGUUGGUGAGGUAACGGCUCACCAAGGCUUUGACGGGUAGCCGGCCUGAAAGGGUGAUCGGCCACACUGGCACUGAGACACGGGCCAG
rnacentral:rRNA from 1 species